GACCACAAGGCCAUAUGGGAUUGGUUAGAAACAUGAGAUUUUGUCCCCCAAAAUUCAAACGUCCAUUCAAACAUGACAUGAUUUUGACCAAACCAUUAACUCUCCAGUGUUGAAUAUUCAAAAGUGGAUAAGGACAUCAAAACAUGAUUCUCAUUAAUACUUCAAUACCUCAAUACUUUGUACAAAGACGAGUCCACUAUGACCAUUUGCGUAAAGAAUAGUAUCCAUGAUCGACACUAAACACCUUUAGAAUCUAUAUAUUUGUCAAGACGUGUGCAACCCAUCGGCUAUAUGG
rnacentral:lncRNA from 1 species